UACGUAGGGGGCUAGCGUUGUCCGGAUUUAUUGGGCGUAAAGAGCGUGUAGGCGGCUUGGCAAGUCUGCUGUGAAACUCGAGGCUCAACCUCGAGCUGUCGGUGGAAACUGCUUGGCUAGAGUCCGGAAGAGGCGAGUGGAAUUCCCGGUGUAGCGGUGAAAUGCGCAGAUAUCGGGAGGAACACCAAUGGCGAAGGCAGCUCGCUGGGACGGUACUGACGCUGAGGCGCGAAAGCGUGGGGAGCAAACAGG
rnacentral:rRNA from 1 species